rnacentral:pre_miRNA from 1 species
AAUAAACCAAUCUUUCACUUUUUCGCUAUAAUAUUUGACACUUCAUCUUAUUCAAAAAAUUUUAUGAUUAAUAUUUUUAUUUUUAUUAGAUGAUAAAUCAUGAAUAAUACUUUACAUGUGACUAUUUUUUUAAUUUAUUAAAAAAAUUUUAAAUAAGAUGAAUGGUAAAAUGUUAGAUACAGACGAGCAACUCGUAAA